CACCAGCCCCUCGAGUGGUGGGGAUGAUUAUUUGGCCUAAAGCGUCCGUAGCCGGCCGGGUAAGUUUCCCGUUAAAUCCAGCGUCUCAAGCGUUGGACUGCGGGAAAUACUGCCUGCUAGAGAGUGGGAGAGGUGUACGGUAUUCUGGGGGUAGGGGCGAAAUCCUUUGAUCCCCGGAGGACCACCAGUGGCGAAGGCUGUACACUAGAACACGUCUGACGGUCAGGGACGAAAGCUGGGGUAGCGAACCGGAUUAGAUACCCGGGUAGUCCCAGCUGUAAACGAUGCAUGCUAGGUGUUGGGUUGGCCACGAGCCACCCCAGUGCCGCAGGGAAGCCGUUAAGCAUGCCGCCUGGGAAGUACGAUCGCAAGAUUGAAACUUAAAGGAAUUGGCGGGGGAGCACCACCAGGCGUGAAGCCUGCGGUUU
rnacentral:rRNA from 1 species